rnacentral:antisense_RNA from 1 species
UCGCACAUUUUGUUGUCUGAUUCAAGAUAUUAGUCGAUCGCAUUUGAUCAUAUGACAAGUUGAGAAUCUA